UACGUAGGGUGCGAGCGUUGUCCGGAAUUACUGGGCGUAAAGAGCUCGUAGGUGGUUUGUCGCGUUGUUCGUGAAAUCUCACGGCUUAACUGUGAGCGUGCGGGCGAUACGGGCAGACUAGAGUACUGCAGGGGGAGACUGGAAUUCCUGGUGUAGCGGUGGAAUGCGCAGAUAUCAGGAGGAACACCGGUGGCGAAGGCGGGUCUCUGGGCAGUAACUGACGCUGAGGAGCGAAAGCGUGGGGAGCGAACAGG
rnacentral:rRNA from 1 species